GAGAUAACCGCUGAAAGCAUCUAAGCGGGAAACUUGCCUUGAGAUGAGUCUUCCCUUGACUUGAGGUCACGGAAGGAACGUUUAAGACGAAGACGUGGAUAGGCUGGGUGUGUAAGCGCAGCGAUGCAUUGAGCUGACCAGUACUAAUGAACCGAGAGGCUUAACCUUACAACACCGAAGGUGUUU
rnacentral:rRNA from 2 species